rnacentral:rRNA from 1 species
GCGCGAUUGGGUUGGCCGAUGUCCGAUUAGCUAGUUGGCGGGGUAAGAGCCCACCAAGGCGAUGAUCGGUAGCUGGUCUGAGAGGAUGAUCAGCCACACUGGGACUGAGACACGGCCCAG